UACGAAGGGGGCUAGCGUUGCUCGGAAUUACUGGGCGUAAAGCGCACGUAGGCGGAUUGUUAAGUCGGGGGUGAAAUCCUGGAGCUCAACUCCAGAACUGCCUUCGAUACUGGCGAUCUCGAGUUCGGGAGAGGUGAGUGGAACUGCGAGUGUAGAGGUGAAAUUCGUAGAUAUUCGCAAGAACACCAGUGGCGAAGGCGGCUCACUGGCCCGAUACUGACGCUGAGGCACGAAAGCCAGGGGAGCAAACGGG
rnacentral:rRNA from 1 species